UACGGAGGAUCCGAGCGUUAUCCGGAUUUAUUGGGUUUAAAGGGUGCGUAGGCGGCCUGUUAAGUCAGGGGUGAAAGACGGUAGCUUAACUAUCGCAGUGCCUUUGAUACUGAUGGGCUUGAAUGUACUUGAGGUAGGCGGAAUGUGACAAGUAGCGGUGAAAUGCAUAGAUAUGUCACAGAACACCAAUUGCGAAGGCAGCUUACUAAAGUAUGAUUGACGCUGAGGCACGAAAGCGUGGGGAUCAAACAGG
rnacentral:rRNA from 1 species